rnacentral:sRNA from 1 species
AACACUCAUACGGACUUCGUCAACACCAUCAAAACUUUGAGAAGCAAGAAGAAGCUUGGUUAGUGUUUUGGAGUCGAAAAUUACUUGUUGUGAUGUGUAUGAUUGAGUAUAAGAACAUAAACCGCAACUGGAGCUUAAAAGCCUAAGUAUUGUUUCCUUGA